UUGAACGCUGGCGGCAUGCCUUACACAUGCAAGUCGAACGGUAACGGGUUAAGCCGACGAGUGGCGAACGGGUGAGUAAUAUAUCGGAACGUGCCCAAUCGUGGGGGAUAACGCAGCGAAAGUUGUGCUAAUACCGCAUAAGAUCUACGGAUGAAAGCGGGGGAUCGCAAGACCUCGCGCGAGUGGAGCGGCCGAUAUCGGAUUAGCUUGUUGGUGAGGUAAAGGCUCACCAAGGCGACGAUCCGUAGCUGGUCUGAGAGGACGACCAGCCACACUGGAACUGAGACACGGUCCAGACUCCUACGGGAGGCAGCAGUGGGGAAUUUUGGACAAUGGGGGCAACCCUGAUCCAGCCAUUCCGCGUGAGUGAAGAAGGCCUUCGGGUUGUAAAGCUCUUUCAGCAGGAACGAAACGGUGGCUACUAAUACUAGCUACUAAUGACGGUACCUGAAGAAGAAGCACCGGCUAACUACGU
rnacentral:rRNA from 1 species